ensembl:lncRNA
CACGGCAGACGCAUCACCAGUGCCUGCCACUCCCACGACCUAAGUCCACGCUUCUCUCAACCUUAGACUCUCUUUCCAAGUCUGAAAUACAACCGGUUGUUGUAGUUCUGUUGCGUUUUUAUGGGCUCUUUUACGUAAAACGCCUGGAGUUUUGAUCCCCUACUUUCCUUGCAGCUCCACUUUGCGUGCGUUUUCCUCCCUCGGAAAUGCCGCCUCGGAGAUAAUUCUUGUUUCCAUUAGAAACAACACACAUGGAACUGCAGGGUUGGUCUACUUCCAACGACUGGUCUCGUUCCUUCCCUUGGGAACGAGGCCCCAGCUGGGAGUCUUGCCCGCCUUUGCUGCACCAGCCUGGGAGACACAGAAACGAAGAACUCUUCCCAGUGCAAUGGAACCAGCAGUCCUAGAGCAAAGCUGCAGAUCUUGUCUAUUCUACGACCUUAGACUCAGCGCACGUGACUUGGCUUUUCUUCCUCCCCACCCCCACCCCCAGUCUCAAGCAGACACAAGGGGCACUUGCCAGACGAUCUCUGGUUUCCUGGGUCUCUGCCCCUCAGGCUAACCAGAGUCCGGCCGGAUCGGAGUGAGCCUGGCAGGGAAUUAAGAAGCGGGUGCCGGCUGACGACCCCGGCCAAGCUGAGGACCCUGGCUGUCCAAACCUUCGCCCAGGCAGGAAGUCCCCACCUUCUCCUUUGUAGCCCACAUUACCCUGUUCAUUUUUUCACAACACUCCGGUAAUUCGUCACAUCUACCUGAUUAUGUUUGUCUGGGUUUAUUGUGUUGCAACGAUUUUGGGGUCAGGAACUGUAUUUUAUUCUCCACGUCACUUGGGCACGGUACGGGGCCAACAAUAAUAGUCAUUAAUUGAACUAAUCGGCGGUAGUUAUUUACUUGUUAAUAUGAUGUUUGUUAUUUGUGGUUAUUUGUUAAUAUCACACUCCAGUGAGAACCAGAGAUUGUAAAAUGAAUGUGAUUCCACGUAACAGAGGCCCCUUUCCUUUGUUCCGUGUUAUUAGAUGAUGAACUUUGCUUGGUAAGAUACACAUUUUUCCCUGAAGUCUUCCUUUUCUCCUCAAAUUACAUUUGAGAGGAGGGUAGAAUUGGAAAUGCAAAUUUUUUCUAACAACACGCUUCCUAACUUACGGGAUUCGUGUGAUCUCAGUAAGUAAUGCCCCUCUUUUCCUCUAUGGUGUGGGAUGAGUUAAAAGACAGUCAAAAGAGUCAGUUAGAAUUCAGCUGUCACCUUCACGCCUGGGGGUCUGCAUUGGAGGCGGUCUAUUCGAGGCACAGUCAUCCUGGACUUGCAGCCACAUGAGGCCAGCGUCAGAGUGCCGUCUACACAGGCGACGGUAGGAGCCGGACAGAACCCUGGUGGCCUGCAGACAUGCUGGGGGGCUGCUCUCAGAGGGGGUGCCGUCAACUCACCUACUGUCAGGUGAUCUUCUGACUCUUCAUGCUCAACUCCUUCCUCCGCGCCAAACACAGUCAUGUCCCCCAUCAGACGUGUUAAGUUGACAUCCGACAUUUUUCACUGAAAUUUUAAAUAGCUACAAAACACGUAAUUUUGGGCAUAUCGGAACUGGUGACAUCGUAAUAAUAAAAUCGAUACCGAACUUUUUGACA